rnacentral:tRNA from 1 species
ACACACAUGGCUUAGAGGUUAAAGCAUCUGCCUGCAAUGCAGGCAACCUGGGUUCGAUCCCUGGGUCUGGA